GAUAGGAAUGAGGGGACUUUAGUUUUAGAAUUUGUUGUGACUUAUGAUUUAUCAAUAAUAAACAUGUGGUUUGAAAUGACAAUAUUUAAUAAUCUUCAAAAGUGGGCAAAUAGUAGCCAAAUAGACUUCUUUCUAACUAGAAAGGCUGAUAGGUUAUUAUGGAAGGAUUGUAAGGUUAUACCAGGAGAGAGCUUAACCAUGCAACAUGGAUUAAUGGUCAUAGAUGUGUUUUAAAACGCUGAAUUGUAGGAAAUGUGAGAUUAUUUGUCCUAGGAUUGGAUGGUGGAUCUUAAAAGUGGAAAACUUGAAGACAUUUACUGAAAUUAGUAACAUAGGGAAGCUGGACUUCGAUAAAGACACUAAUAUGAUAUGGAACGAGAUGGCUAUUUAUCUUAAGAAUGUAGUUAAGUUCUAGGCGAAUCUAAAGCAAGGCAACAUACAUCUCGGGAAACUUGGUGGUGAGAUUAUGAAGCUCAAACAGCCAUUAAGGCUAAAAAAAUCUGGUUUAAAACUUGGCAAAGGAGCAAGGAUGAGGAGGAUUUAAAAAGAUGUAAUUUGCUAAUAAUGAAGUUAAGAAGAUAUAGGGAAAGCAAAGACUAUGAAUUAUGAGGAUAUCUAUAACAAUUUAGGCACAAAUGAGGGAAAAAAGGUAUCUUCAGGCUAGCUAAAAUGAAGGUAAGCAAGACUAGAGAUUUUAACCAUAUUAGAUGCAUUAAAAAUGAAGAUGAAAUGUAUUUUUAAGUGAUGAGGAGGUUAAAGAGAGAUGGAAAAAUUAUUUCUGUAACUAAAUGAAAACAAUACAAGUAAUAGUGUUUUAGAAGGUUGUAAUAAUCAUUAAGAAACCACAAAUCGUAGAUAUA